rnacentral:rRNA from 1 species
GGACUACUGGGGUUUCUAAUCCUGUUUGCUCCCCACGCUUUCGCGUCUCAGCGUCAGUAUCUGGCCAGAUGGCCGCCUUCGCCACCGGUGUUCCUCCCCAUAUCUACGAAUUUCACCUCUACUUGGGGAAUUCCGCCAUCCUCUCCAGUACUCAAGCCAUGCAGUUUCGGGCGCACUUCCUCAGUUGAGCUGAGGGCUUUCACACCCGACUUGCACAGCCGCCUACACGCGCUUUACGCCCAAUAAUUCCGAACAACGCUUGCACCCUCUGUAUUACCGCGGCUGCUGGCAC